GAUGAAAGAAGAAACAGAGCGGACCAAAGCAGAGAGAAGAGAAACGAAGAACGAAAGACACUCUUUCUUUCUUUCUUUCUUUCUUUUUCUCUCUGUUUCUUUUU
rnacentral:ribozyme from 14 species